UACGUAGGUGGCAAGCGUUGUCCGGAUUUACUGGGCGUAAAGAGCGCGCAGGCGGUCGUUCAAGUCGCGUGUGAAAGCCCCCGGCUCAACUGGGGAGGGUCACGCGAUACUGAUCGACUCGAAGGCAGGAGAGGGAAGUGGAAUUCACGGUGUAGCAGUGAAAUGCGUAGAUAUCGUGAGGAAGACCAGUGGCGAAGGCGGAUCUCUGGACAGUUCCUGACACUGAGGCACGAAGGCCAGGGGAGCAAACGGG
rnacentral:rRNA from 1 species